rnacentral:rRNA from 1 species
GACGAACGCUGGCGGCGUGCUUAACACAUGCAAGUCGAACGAAGUGGCGAACGGGUGAGUAACGCGUAAUCAACCUGCCCUUCAGAGGGGGACAACAGUUGGAAACGACUGCUAAUACCGCAUACUCAUGGUGGGGAUUGCGUCGGAAUAGCUAGUUGGAGGGGUAACGGCCCGCCAAGGCGAUGAUGAGUAGCCGGGCUGAGAGGAUGAACGGGCAAAUUGGGACUGGGACACGGCCCAGACUCCUACGGGGGGCAGCAGUGGGGAAACUUCCGCAAUGGACGAAAGUCUGACGGAGCAACGCCGCGUGAGUGAUGACGGCCUUCGGGUUGGAAAGCUCUGUUAAUCGGGACGCGGUAACGGAAGAGAAAGCCACGGCUAACUACGUGCCAGCAGCCGCGGUAAUAG